AUCCAACUGAUGAGUCUCAAAUAGGACAAAACGCACGUCUUGGAU
rfam:Schistosoma haematobium scaffold1301_18, whole genome shotgun sequence.